rnacentral:rRNA from 1 species
UAUUAAAAAACAACAGCACUCUGCAAACAACGAAAGUAGGACGUAUAGGGUGUGAUGCCUGCCCGGUGCUGGAAGGUUAAUUGAUGGGGUUAGGCGUAAGCGAAGCUCUUGAUCGAAGCCCCAGUAAACGGCGGCCGUAACAAUAACGGUCCUAAGGUAGCGAAAUUCCUUGUCGGGUAAGUUCUGACCCGCACGAAAGGCGUAACGAUUUGGGCACUGUCUCAACGAGAGGCUCGGUGAAAUCAUAGUACCUGUGAAGAUGCAGGUUACCCGCGACAGGACGGAAAGACCCCGUGGAGCUUUACUGUAAUUUGAUAUUGAAUCUCAACCACACCAGGGUGGUAUCCCACCAUUGCCUCCACAUAGACUAACGUCCAUGCUUCAUCGGC